CCUACGGGAGUCAGCAGUGGGGGAUAUUUCACCAUGGGGUGAACCCUGAUGCAGCGACGCCGCGUGGGUUAAGGAGCGUUUCGGCGCGUCAAGCCCUAUCGGACGGGCAGAAGAUGACGUUACCUGACCAAGAAGCCCCUGCUAACUACGUGCCAGCAUCCGCGGUAAUACGUAGGGGGCAAGCGUUAUCAGGAUUUACUGGGUGGACAGGGGGCGCAGACGGCACUGCAAGCCAGGAGUGAAAGCCCGGGGCCCAACCCCGGGACUGCUCUUGGAACUGCAUGGCUGGAGUACAGGAGGGGCAGGCGGAAGUCCUAGUGUAGCGGUGAAAUGCGUAGAUAUUAGGAGGAACACCGGUGGCGAAGGCGGCCUGCUGGACUGUGACUGACGUUGAGGCCCGAAGGCGUGGGGAGCAAACAGGAUUAGAUACCCUUGUAGUC
rnacentral:rRNA from 1 species